CUUUGAAAAAACCGUGGAGUCUACCAUUGAUGCCAACAGAGAAUGACGGGGAGGUGAAGCAGGCUGCGAGCCUCUGGAUGUAGUCUUGUGGGAGGUUAAGAGAUAGGAGGCAAGCAAUGAGGAAGUCCCAUCUUACAGAAUCAAAAGCCUUGGCUAUGUCCAGUUUUAAGGCAGCCGAGAGAGAAGAGCCGCUUGAGCUUGAGAGCAGGAAAAGCGGUCUGUUCGGAUCAUGUCAGCAACAGAGGAGAUCAUCAGGGGGGUAGUUUUCGGAGUAGGCGGCCCAAGGAUGUUCAAGAAGUGCGCCACAGCAAGGUUACCAAUAUCUUCAGAAACUGGAGUUUUUCAAGGAGGGCUUUCUCUGCGGCAAAGUUAUCUGAUGUGGGUUGACGUAGUGAGAGUACAUGCGCAUCCAUGAACAAACAUGCAAACCCAGGUUUCAGCAACCAGUUUAAGGAAGUCAGGGUGAAGGGUGAGGUAAUUGAAGAACUUGAAUGGUUUUGUUCCGGCUUGAGGUAGAGGACGGAUAGGUUCAAUGCAACAGGGAGUGUGAUCUGAGAUAUCAGGGGCAUGGAACACGGCAAGGCUACGGGGGUCCUGGAUUUCCAAUUGAUGCAGACAGGAGUUGAAAUCAAUCAUAGGGCUAGAGAUUUGCGAGAUAGAUGGUAUUGAGUGCUCUGAAGGAUGCCUUAUUUCGUUGAAGUCUCCCCUAACAAGCCAAGGGUAUGAGCCUAGGUUGAGAGUAGCAUGGAGAUCCAAGAGCUCCACCCACAGCUCAGUGCGUUCUUCUACAGUGUUACCUGCAUAGACCGCUGUGAAGUAGAAAGGUGGGACAGAAGGGUAAUCGACACGGCAAGUCAAAGAUUGUCUAGACUGGUGGGAGAUGGUGAUAUUAAGAUGGGGCUUCCAGAUCAAGAUGAUCCUUCCGUCAGGGUCUGAGUGAUGGUUUGAAACAUAAGACCAUGAAGGACAGAUAAGGGCCAUGGUCGGGCUGAGGGCAGGUUCUUUAAUAUGGGUUUCUAA